CUGAACUGCUCUGACUGGCAGACUUUUAUUUUAAUUGCUUUUCUCCUGUAGCAUCUUGCUUCAUCAGAAAAGUGAAGGAAUCUAUAUAAAGCAGCCUACUUCAGUUAUGCUGCUCUCAUUCAUACCAAAGGCAAGUCUCUGUGCUUUGAGACACGAAUAUUCUGGAUGCGAAGAGAGAAGAUGCACAAAGGAUGCUAUAGGCAAUGGAGACCGCUGAGGAAGAAGAGAUCUAGCACAACAUCUUUUGGGAAGAGUCUAUCCAACAGGAAUCACACCGACCCUCCCUUUGUGCCAGCUCCUUCUGUUAUGCCAGUACAAGGUGAUUCUGUGUUCCACUUUGGAGUGUCCAAUUAUUUUCUUACGUCUACUUCAUUGGCUUGCUACAGAGCAGGGGGCUUUAACAUCAGCAUCUCCAAAGUGGUCCCCUUCCUUGGGAGUUGAAUUGCAAUGUAAAUGGAAGGAGCCAGCUACUGUCUUAUUGGCCUUUGAUAAAGGAAACAGCUUGUUCAAGUCCAACCAUUUUGUUUGUUUGCAUGUUCUGCAACUGCACAGCUUGGACAAUAUCACCAGUUUAAUUUCAGCAGGCCCUGUGUCCCAGCAGCUCUUGCUAUCAGUUUUCUGGAUAUGGCAGAAAAAGAGCCCAGAUCUUAUUAGCACUGGAGCUAGGAAGUGGUGUUACCACGAGACAGAGGAGAUUACCAUGCUGUGCUGUAAACCUUGUCAUGAAAAUUCUGCAAAGGAGUAG
ensembl:lncRNA